rnacentral:rRNA from 1 species
UAGGGAAUCUUCCGCAAUGGGCGAAAGCCUGACGGAGCAACGCCGCGUGAGUGAUGAAGGUCUUCGGAUCGUAAAACUCUGUUAUUAGGGAAGAACAAAUGUGUAAGUAACUAUGUACGUCUUGACGGUACCUAAUCAGAAAGCCACGGCUAACUACGUGCCAGCAGCCGCGGUAAUACGUAGGUGGCAAGCGUUAUCCGGAAUUAUUGGGCGUAAAGCGCGCGUAGGCGGUUUUUUAAGUCUGAUGUGAAAGCCCACGGCUCAACCGUGGAGGGUCAUUGGAAACUGGAAAACUUGAAUGCAGAAGAGGAAAGUGGAAUUCCAUGUGUAGCGGUGAAAUGGGCAGAGAUAUGGAGGAACACCAGUGGCGAAGGCGACGUUCUGGUCUGUAACUGACGCUGAUGUGCGAAAGCGUGGGGAUCAAACAGG